rnacentral:rRNA from 1 species
AGCGAACGCUGGCGGCAGGCUUAACACAUGCAAGUCGAACGAUCCUUCGGGAUAGUGGCGGAACGGGUGAGUAACACGUGGGAACGUGCCUUUUUGGUCGGAAUAACUCAGGGAAACUUGAGCUAAUACCGGAUGUGCCCCUUGGGGGAAAGAUUUAUCGCCAUUAGAGCGGCCCGCGUCUGAUUAGCUUGUUGGUGAGGUAAUGGCUCACCAAGGCGACGAUCAGUAGCGGUCUGAGAGGAUGAUCAGCCACAUUGGGACUGAGACACGGCCCAAACUCCUACGGGAGGCAGCAGUGGGGAAUCUUGCGCAAUGGGCGAAAGCCUGACGCAGCCAUGCCG